GGCUCAGGACGAACGCUGGCGGCGUGCUUAACACAUGCAAGUCGAACGGUGACGGACCUUCGGGUCCUGAUCAGUGGCGAACGGGUGAGUAACACGUGGGCAACCUGCCCCUAGCUCUGGGAUAACUCCUCGAAAGAGGCGCUAAUACCGGAUAUUCACAUCCUUGGGCAUCCAAGGCUGUGGAAAGUUUCUCGGCUAGGGAUGGGCCCGCGGCCUAUCAGCUUGUUGGUGGGGUAAUGGCCCACCAAGGCGACGACGGGUAGCCGGCCUGAGAGGGCGACCGGCCACACUGGGACUGAGACACGGCCCAGACUCCUACGGGAGGCAGCAGUGGGGAAUAUUGCGCAAUGGGCGAAAGCCUGACGCAGCAACGCCGCGUGAGGGAUGAAGGCCUUCGGGUUGUAAACCUCUUUCAGCAGGGAUGAAGCGAAAGUGACAGUACCUGCAGAAGAAGCGCCGGCUAACUACGUGCCAGCAGCCGCGGUAAUACGUAGGGCGCAAGCGUUGUCCGGAUUUAUUGGGCGUAAAGAGCUCGUAGGCGGUCUGUCACGUCGGAUGUGAAAACCCGGAGCUCAACUCCGGGCCUGCAUUCGAUACGGGCAGACUUGAGUACUGCAGGGGAGACUGGAAUUCCUGGUGUAGCGGUGGAAUGCGCAGAUAUCAGGAGGAACACCGGUGGCGAAGGCGGGUCUCUGGGCAGAAACUGACGCUGAGGAGCGAAAGCGUGGGGAGCGAACAGGAUUAGAUACCCUGGUAGUCCACGCCGUAAACGGUGGGCACUAGGUGUGGGGACCAUCUCAGGUCUCUGCGCCGCAGCUAACGCAUUAAGUGCCCCGCCUGGGGAGUACGGCCGCAAGGCUUAAACUC
rnacentral:rRNA from 1 species